rnacentral:sRNA from 1 species
ACAACGUUUUAUGAAAUUCAUACCUUCCAUCUGGUAUGAAAUUGACAAUGUAUCUAUGAAUUUGGCAACGACAAGGGUUUAUCCUUCUUUGACAACGACGAGGUCUAGGUUUGUACAGAUGAAGAUGUCGACGACGAGGGUUUAUGAGUGUGUUUGGUUUCAAUGAGUUAAGAAAAUAUGGGUUUUAGUUGAUGAUAUUAGCCCAUGAGAAAACAGCAAGUAGAUGAUAUUGGGCUGGUUUGAAUGAGACCCAUUUGUUUUCAUCAAAAGCACAAAAGGGUAAAAUGAUACUUUACUAUUUGCUGUAUUAGAGGAGGAGCUCUAUUAGAGAGGAGAGAUAAAACUACCUUCUCUGCCUAUUUCUAUAUAAGACCAAUGUUCUAAAAGUGUCUAGUUCUCAAAUUAUUUUACCAAAAACUGCAUAGUCUUCAACUUAUCUCUAUUAUUUAUAUAAGAUCAAUGUUCUAAAAACGAUAUAAAUAGCAUAAGUUUCGUUUUAUUGUAUUUUUUUUUUAAUUUUAACUGUAGAGAAUUAAAUUAUAAAUUUUAGCUUCAUACAUAUCGUAUGAUUUGAAUUAAAUAAACAUUUUAGC